AUACGUAGGGAGCGAGCGUUGUCCGGAUUUACUGGGUGUAAAGGGUGCGUAGGCGGCUUUUUAAGUCAGGUGUGAAAACCGUGGGCUUAACUCACGGAUUGCAUUUGAAACUGAGGGGCUUGAGUGGAGCAGAGGCAGGCGGAAUUCCCGGUGUAGCGGUGAAAUGCGUAGAGAUCGGGAGGAACACCAGUGGCGAAGGCGGCCUGCUGGGCUUUAACUGACGCUGAGGCACGAAAGCAUGGGUAGCAAACAGGAUUAGAUACCCUGGUAGUCCAUGCCGUAAACGAUGAUUACUAGGUGUGGGUGGUCUGACCCCAUCCGUGCCGGAGUUAACACAAUAAGUAAUCCACCUGGGGAGUACGACCGCAAGGUUGA
rnacentral:rRNA from 1 species